GGGUCAGUAGGUUGGUCGUGCCACCGGUACGUACUGUUCUCACUGAUUCCUCCUUCCUGAAGAACCGUAAUGCCAUUAAUUUGGUGUUGCGGGGAAGCAGGACUGUUACUUUGAAAAAAUUAGAGUGUUUAAAGCAAGCUAACGCUUGAAUACAUUAGCAUGGAAUAAUGAAAUAGGACGAUCGAUCCUAUUUUGUUGGUUUCUAGGAUUGACGUA
rnacentral:rRNA from 1 species